rnacentral:rRNA from 1 species
GAGUUUGAUCAUGGCUCAGAUUGAACGCUGGCGGCAUGCCUUACACAUGCAAGUCGAACGGCAGCACGGGAGCUUGCUCCUGGUGGCGAGUGGCGAACGGGUGAGUAAUGCAUCGGAACGUAUCCUGGAGUGGGGGAUAACGUAGCGAAAGUUACGCUAAUACCGCAUAUUCUGUGAGCAGGAAAGCGGGGGACCUUCGGGCCUCGCGCUCUUGGAGCGGCCGAUGUCGGAUUAGCUAGUUGGUGAGGUAAAGGCUCACCAAGGCGACGAUCCGUAGCAGGUCUGAGAGGAUGAUCUGCCACACUGGAACUGAGACACGGUCCAGACUCCUACGGGAGGCAGCAGUGGGAAUUUUGGACAAUGGGGGCAACCCUGAUCCAGCCAUGCCGCGUGAGUGAAGAGGCC